rnacentral:rRNA from 1 species
CGGGCCCCGCACAAGCAGCGGAGCGUGUGGUUUAAUUCGAUGCUACACGAAGAACCUUUACCAGGGUUUGACAUGCUAGUGGUAGGAACCGAAAGGUGACCGACCCUUCGGGGAGCUAGCACAGGUGCUGCAUGGCUGUCGUCAGCUCGUGUCGUGAGAUGUUCGGUUAAGUCCGCUAACGAGCGCAACCCUCGCUGUGUGUUAUAUGUGUCACAUGGGACUGCCGGCCUUAAGCCGGAGGAAGGUGGGGAUGAUGUCAAGUCAGCAUGGCCUUUAUGUCCUGGGCUACACACACGCUACAAUGGUCAGCACAAUGGGUCGCUAAGCCGCAAGGUGGAGCCAAUCCUCAAAGUUGGCCUCAGUUCAGAUUGUAGGCUGCAACUCGCCUGCAUGAAGAUGGAGUUGCUAGUAAACGCAGGUCAGCUAUACUGCGUUGAAUACGUUCCCGGGGCUU